rnacentral:rRNA from 1 species
UACGUAGGUGGCGAGCGUUGUCCGGAUUUACUGGGCGUAAAGAGCGCGCAGGCGGUCGUUCAAGUCGCGUGUGAAAGCCCCCGGCUCAACUGGGGAGGGUCACGCGAUACUGAUCGACUCGAAGGCGGGAGAGGGAAGCGGAAUUCCCGGUGUAGUGGUGAAAUGCGUAGAUAUCGGGAGGAACACCAGUGGCGAAGGCGGCUUCCUGGCCCGUUCUUGACGCUGAGGCGCGAAAGCUAGGGGAGCAAACGGG